rnacentral:rRNA from 1 species
GUGGGGAAUUUUGGACAAUGGGCGAAAGCCUGAUCCAGCCAUGCCGCGUGCAGGAUGAAGGCCUUCGGGUUGUAAACUGCUUUUGUACGGAACGAAAAGACUCCUUCUAAUAAAGGGGGUCCAUGACGGUACCGUAAGAAUAAGCACCGGCUAACUACGUGCCAGCAGCCGCGGUAAUACGUAGGGUGCAAGCGUUAAUCGGAAUUACUGGGCGUAAAGCGUGCGCAGGCGGUUAUAUAAGACAGAUGUGAAAUCCCCGGGCUCAACCUGGGAACUGCAUUUGUGACUGUAUAGGUAGAGGACGGUAGAGGGGGAUGGAAUUCCGCGUGUAGCAGUGAAAUGCGUAGAUAUGCGGAGGAACACCGAUGGCGAAGGCAAUCCCCUGGACCUGUACUGACGCUCAUGCACGAAAGCGUGGGGAGCAAACAGGAUUAGAUACCCCAGUAGUCC